rnacentral:rRNA from 1 species
UACGGAGGGGGCAAGCGUUGUUCGGAAUUACUGGGCGUAAAGGGCGCGCAGGCGGCUGCUCAAGUCAGGCGUGAAAGGCCUGGGCUCAACCCGGGAAUUGCGCUUGAGACUGGGCUGGCUUGAGUGCGGGAGAGGAUGGUGGAAUUCCCAGUGUAGAGGUGAAAUUCGUAGAUAUUGGGAGGAACACCGGUGGCGAAGGCGGCUACCUGGACCGGUACUGACGCUGAGGCGCGAAAGCUAGGGUAGCAAACAGG